UGGCGGACGGGUGAGUAACGCGUGGGUAACCUGCCUCAUACAGGGGGAUAACAGUUAGAAAUGACUGCUAAUACCGCAUAAGACCACAGCACCGCAUGGUGCAGGGGUAAAAACUCCGGUGGUAUGAGAUGGACCCGCGUCUGAUUAGGUAGUUGGUGGGGUAACGGCCCACCAAGCCGACGAUCAGUAGCCGACCUGAGAGGGUGACCGGCCACAUUGGGACUGAGACACGGCCCAA
rnacentral:rRNA from 1 species